rnacentral:rRNA from 1 species
CAGCCACGGGAAUACGUAGGGUGCGAGCGUUAAUCGGAAUUACUGGGCGUAAAGCGUGCGCAGGCGGUUGUGUAAGACAGGUGUGAAAUCCCCGGGCUUAACCUGGGAACUGCAUUUGUGACUGGCGGGCUAGAGUAUGGCAGAGGGGGGUAGAAUUCCACGUGUAGCAGUGAAAUGCGUAGAGAUGUGGAGGAAUACCGAUGGCGAAGGCAGCCCCCUGGGCCAAUACUGACGCCCAUGCACGAAAGCGUGGGGAGCAAACAGGAUUAGAUACCCCUGUAGUCCCUGUCUCUUAUACACA